CAAGGUUUGACUUGAGCGCCAGCGAGAGAGCGUUGCCGCAGGCAACGACCCGAAGGGCGAAGCGUGCAGCGCUGAGUAAUCCUUCCCCCACCACCA
rnacentral:sRNA from 1 species